rnacentral:rRNA from 1 species
UACAGAGGGGGCGAGCGUUGUUCGGAAUUACUGGGCGUAAAGGGCGCGUAGGCGGCCUUCUAAGUCGAACGUGAAAUCCCCGGGCUCAACCCGGGAACUGCGUCCGAUACUGGGAGGCUUGAAUCCGGGAGAGGGAUGUGGAAUUCCAGGUGUAGCGGUGAAAUGCGUAGAUAUUCGCAAGAACACCAGUGGCGAAGGCGGCUCACUGGCCCGAUACUGACGCUGAGGCACGAAAGCGUGGGGAGCAAACAGG